rnacentral:lncRNA from 1 species
AAAAAGAGGACAGCAGUGAUAAAUGUGUGGAUAAGGAAGUGGGGAGGGCAGCACAAGAGGCCUCAGUUUCUGCUGGGAGCAAAGUUCUUUUUCUUAUAGCUGCCAUCUCCCUUUGUGCCCCUGUGACUGUUCCCCCAAGUCUUGCUGUGGAGUGGCGGACAGUGACCCCAGCCUUUCUUUUCUGAAGGUCUUGCAAGGAUGCACACAACGGUGUCCUUCAGGGAGGCAGUGUGACACAACAGCAGGUCAGGCAUCUGAGAAGCACCUGGAGGUGAGCCCCACUGGGCCCCUGACCUGCCCUGCAGCCUUGGGUUAGGAGCUUCCCUGAGCUCACUCUCCUGAGAUGAUAAAAUCGCUUCUCGGGGCAGUCGGGAGGAUUAGAAAGAACAUUCAUAAUCCGAUUUCCAAACUUCUCUUGUCCCUUUAAUCCUCACAUCCCUGGAGUCUCAGCUCCGCCUCUUUUGAACGCUGAAAGCUCCUGUCUCCAAGCAUUUCUGAGCCACUCCAAGAAGCACACCCUCCACAGACCAGUUUUGGCAGUUACUCCUCACUACAGUCCACCCCUGGGGACCCCAGUUGCUGUUUUCUCCAUCUGCAGUUACACACAUUUGUCUCAAGACAGACUGUUCCUGUUCCCUCCUCUGCUGCUUUGGACUUUGACCCUGUCUUCAGUUUCAAACACUGACAAUUGAGAUCAGGAAUAAGGCUUGCCAGGACCUUGCCUAGGGUUUGCUAAGACUUUGUUUUGUGGUAGAGGAAGCACAUUGGAAAGGAGAACUUAAAGCCAAAGUAAUACCACUUCUAGGGGCUGGUCCUCUCCUCGUCACACCUCCACCUCUCCCUAGACUUGCCCCAUGUUGCUGACCUGACUCCCGUGGAAAUGCCCUGGAGCUCAGCCCUGCCUCAGCAUCCUCAUAUUCCAGAAUGAGUGAUCUUGGCAGUGUUUGUUCCACUCAGAGGUAACCCUAUCCUGUACACAGGCUCCGAUCUGGUCCUUAGCCACGAAAGCACUAGAACAACAAUAGUGAAAACCACGUUCCUUCCCCCAGGGUGACAGCAUCCACAGUGCUCUAUGGUGCUCUUCCUCUUGAGAGGAACAGAAGCCUCAGCCCUGAUUCCUUCAAGCUGCCUCAAGUCUUGGCUUUUGAUCUCCUGUGAGAAACAGCUUGGACAAAUGACUUACACACCUGCCAGGAAAGAGCGAUGACACGCAGGGUUAGGAAAGAGCAUCUGACUGUGGGAAACAAGGAUGACCGUCUGUCCUGCAACAAAUGCCCUCGUAUGUCUCCCCAGGAUGAAAGACUCUGCUCUAUUCCUUGAAUGAAGUCCUGACAUAACUUAUCUGUCCCUUGUUUCUUCUCUGGCUUCAUGCGUGUCACCUGGUCCCUCCUUAUACCAUCCUUCUUAAGUGCCCCGAUCUUUUCAAUCCCAACUUUUUUUUGCACAUGCCGAGACCUCUGUUCAGAAUGUUCUUCCUUGAAAUGCUCACCUCCGCCACCUUCCACUCAUUCUUUGCAUAUUGCUUAAGAUAUCCUUUCUGAGAGGACUUCCUUGACUUCUGGCCCCAUUCAAGCAGAUCCUCCAAUCACACCUUUCC